rnacentral:rRNA from 1 species
GCGUCAGUCGCAAGAUGAAGCGUUGAAUUGAAGCCCGAGUAAACGGCGGCCGUAACUAUAACGGUCCUAAGGUAGCGAAAUUCCUUGUCGGUUAAAUACCGACCUGCAUGAAUGGCGUAACGAGAUGGGAGCUGUCUCAACCAGAGAUUCAGUGAAAUUGUAGUGGAGGUGAAAAUUCCUCCUACCCGCAGCAAGACGGAAAGACCCCGUGGACCUUUACUACAACUUAGCACUG